rnacentral:rRNA from 1 species
GCUGCACUCUGUCGGCGUGCCUAAUACAUGCAAGUCGAGCGAACAGACGAGGAGCUUGCUCCUCUGACGUUAGCGGCGGACGGGUGAGUAACACGUGGAUAACCUACCUAUAAGACUGGGAUAACUUCGGGAAACCGGAGCUAAUACCGGAUAAUAUAUUGAACCGCAUGGUUCAAUAGUGAAAGACGGUUUUGCUGUCACUUAUAGAUGGAUCCGCGCCGCAUUAGCUAGUUGGUAAGGUAACGGCUUACCAAGGCAACGAUGCGUAGCCGACCUGAGAGUGUGAUCGGCCACACUGGAACUGAGACACGGUCCAGACUCCUACGGGAGGCAGCAGUAGGGAAUCUUCCGCAAUGGGCGAAAGCCUGACGGAGCAACGCCGCGUGAGUGAUGAAGGUCUUCGGAUCGUAAAACUCUGUUAUUAGGGAAGAACAAAUGUGUAAGUAACUAUGCACGUCUUGACGGUACCUAAUCAGAAAGCCACGGCUAACUACGUG